GUGAGGGUACUGUAAGUUACACAGUUUGGCAGAUUUUUUAGUGGGCACCCGUAGGUAUCUGCCAUGCCUGGGUGGGGGAUGGCGGCACUUCUCUCCGGACACCAUGAUUUGCCCGAAUGAAAAUGCCACCCACGGCCUAGGUUUUGAACCGCCGUCGGUGCGGUCUAUUUCCACAUGUCCGUUACGGGUACGGGACGGGUCCGGGCCGACCAGGCCGGCAAAAAUAAAAAUGAUCGUUGACAUUUGUUUAAAUGCACAUGGACGGAACGGGCCCGGUCCGGGAUCGCCGGGUGGUGUCCGGGAAAAAAAUGUCUGUCAACCACUCCGUCCCCCAAACUUUAUAUCAUAUAUAUAUAAGUAUCCUUAAUUAAAUUUCACGGAAAAUUGAAAUAAGUUAUUUUCGUAUAUCAUAUUAUUUUUGUGUUUAAGGUCAAUCAGUUUAGGGACCGUAACCUAAAUAUCAUGUUAGGUAAAUAUAUAGAAUAUAGGUAGGAUUAGAAUUAAACUUAAUUUAAAUUUCAAUAAAAGUCUAUUUUGAAUAGGUAUGGAUUGUUGAUAAGUGAUGAUAGCAUUGAUUGUAAAAUGUGUAGAACCUUUGAAAUUUAUACUUAUUCUUAAAACAAUUGAGCGUAACAUUUUUCUUAAAAUCAUUUAACAAUAAUAUUAAGUUAAUGCUUAAUAAUUUUGAAAAAAAAAUAAUCAAGACAUUAAGUUUAUGAACGGAAAAUCCAGGCAAAUAAUAUAGUUUAUAAAAUAUACGCCAAGUCACAUAUUAUUCACAUCCGGUUUGACACAAAACGUGUAAUUUUUUACAGGUAUUGACACGGUAAAAAAAAAAAUAAAACUGAAGUGAGGUACAAGGGGUACGAGGGGUACCUAUAUCAUGAUGUCACUACCAAAUACUGCGACAAUCGAUCAGAACUAAUGGCAUCCACAUACAUGAAUAAUUAUUAUGGAUUAAAAUGUUAGACAUUUGAGGAAUAAUAACAGUUACACUCUGAUGAGUUUUAACGCAUUUAAUAAUAUUUAAGUGUGUUUUUUUUUCAAACCGAUAUUGGAUGUUGUUAAUUUUGAAUACUAUACUAGGACAAACGCUGUUUAAAUAAUAGCAACUAUUAAUUUACAGGGUAUAUAAUAUUGCUGUCCAUCGGCGCUUUUCGAUUGUUUUUUCUCCGACGGCACGUCGUAAAUACCACACAGCUGCAGCAGUAUAAUACAUAUAAACGAGAAACAGCUGAAUACAUUAGUCGCGGGUAUGGUCAGUAUGUUAGGUGUACACUUGAAAUACAACCUGUAGUCGGUGAUAUAAUGACGACGUGUCGAAAUUUACAGAAACAGAAAAUCAAAAACUAUCGCUUCAGAUCAGUGAUGUGACGUGUCGUGCAUUUUGAGCAGCGAGCUGACCGGCCUGAAAAGAACUUCUGAAAAAAAAGAACAUUCAUAACGAUAAUAUUAUAUUAUUAUAACCAUUUUUGAGGUGCGAGACCGAAUAAAAUCUCUUCACUGGUGGAAUUUCGCGGAAUGAAGUCUCUCUGUGAGUAAGACAAAUGGAAAUGAUACCCACCCUAUUUGUCGCCGCCAGCAAUGUGUUAUCAGGCGUGAAAACGAUUUUAAAGGAUUUCUCCUUCCGAUCUCCCUCCCUCCCUCCCCGUUCGUUUCCCACCCACCUCCAACAUCACACGCACACACACUCGCACGCUUACGCACAAGAAACCGAAGAAAGCUGUUUCAGGUCGCUAAACAUCGAGUGUAUACGGCGGAGAACUCCGGUGAGAGUAGUCCACUGGACGUGACAGCAAACGGACCAUUAAUUAUCGUCAACAUGUCUCUUUUAAAAAAAGAUUUUAUCGGAAUACCAGUUUUCUAGUAUUUUAUUUUUUAUUUUUUAUAUAAGCCGGUAAACAUAUUAUAAUUCCACACUUAUUAGUUGUCCAUUGCUUUGACGUUAAUUAUUUUUCACGAGCUCAACGCAUUUAAAGCAUAUAAUAUUAUGUAUUCUAAAUGCCAGCACUACUUUAAAUAACAACAAUAAUAAUAACGGAUGAACAUUAAAUGAUAAUAAUAAUAAUACACCCACGGCCCCGAAAGGUUUAUGACGAUUGUGUACAAUUCUUCGAAAUGACUACUGAAAUAGAAAGAACCGACAAAAUAUAUCGAUCAAGAGUCGAGACGAACGCAGAUAAUCGACUAAACAAUGUCGUUUCGAGAUACGCAGCAUAUAAUAUAAAAAACAAAACAUGUAUGGUCAUAUUAUUAUAUAAUAUUAUUAUAUUAUAGCUACCGAUGGUCAUCGGCGGUACUGAAACGUUAUUAUAGUGAAUUGUUGUUGAAACUCGAAACCAAACGGAUAAGGAGUAUAAGGAUAAGGAUGUGCCUAGAAACAUAAAUUCCGGAUAUAUGUAUAUAUAAGAGAGAUUAAAAAAUAAAAUCAUGUUAUGUUGUUAUUAUUAUGUUAUAUUGUUGAACUCCAGGUUAUGUUAUAUUUAUUAAAAUAUUCAAGUAGAUAAAUACGAUAAAAAUUGUUAAUGUAAAUUUAAAUUCCGUAUGCUAUUAAAAAUUGUAUUUAUAUACUUUCUUUUCUCAUAAAAUCAAUUAUUUAAUUAUGAAUAAAAAACCA